rnacentral:rRNA from 1 species
GCUUGCUGCGGGUACUCGAGUGGCGAACGGGUGAGUAACACGUGGGUGAUCCGCCUUGCACUUCGGGAUAAGCUUGGGAAACUGGGUCUAAUACCGGAUAGGACAGCUGUUUAGUGUCAGUUGUGGAAAGUUUUUUCGGUGCAAGAUGAGCUCGCGGCCUAUCAGCCUUGUUGGUGGGGUAAUGGCCUACCAAGGCGUCGACGGGUAGCCGGCCUGAGAGGGUGUACGGCCACAUUGGGACUGAGAUACGGCCCAGACUCCUACGGGAGGCAGCAGUGGGGAAUAUUGCACAAUGGGCGGAAGCCUGAUGCAGCGACGCCGCGUGGGGGAUGAAGGCCUUCGGGUUGUAAACUCCUUUCGACAGGGACGAAGCGUAAGUGACGGUACCUGUAUAAGAAGCACCGGCUAACUACGUGCCAGCAGCCGCGGUAAUACGUAGGGUGCGAGCGUUGUCCGGAAUUACUGGGCGUAAAGAGCUCGUAGGUGGUUUGUCGCGUCGUCUGUGAAAUUCCGGGGCUUAACUCCGGGCGUGCAGGCGAUACGGGCUGACUUGAGUGCUGUAGGGGAGACUGGAAUUCCUGGUGUAGCGGUGAAAUGCGCAGAUAUCAGGAGGAACACCGAUGGCGAAGGCAGGUCUCUGGGCAGUAACUGACGCUGAGGAGCGAAAGCAUGGGUAGCGAACAGGAUUAGAUACCUGGUAGUCCAUGCCGUAAACGGUGGGCGCUAGGUGUAGGGGGCUUCCACGUCUUCUGUGCCGUAGCUAACGCAUUAAGCGCCCCGCCUGGGGAGUACGGCCGCAAGGCUA